UACGUAGGGAGCAAGCGUUGUCCGGAUUCACUGGGUGUAAAGGGUGCGCAGGCGGAUUUGUAAGUCAGAGGUGAAAUCUCACGGCUUAACCGUGAAACUGCCUUUGAUACUGCAGAUCUUGAGUUUGGGAGAGGUUGAUGGAAUUCCAGGUGUAGCGGUGAAAUGCGUAGAUAUCUGGAAGAACACCAGUGGCGAAGGCGGUCAACUGGCCCAUAACUGACGCUCAGGCACGAAAGCGUGGGGAGCAAACAGGAUUAGAUACCCUGGUAGUCCACGCCUUAAACGAUGAAUACUUGGUGUUGGUUCUUAAUGAAUCAGUGCCGGAGGUAACCUGGUAAGUAUUCCACCUGGGGAGUACGCUCGCAAGGGUGAA
rnacentral:rRNA from 1 species